GAAGGUAUAGCUCAAUAGUAGAGUGCAUGCUUCGCGUGCAUGGAGCCCUGGGUUCAAUCUCUAGUACCUCCA
rnacentral:tRNA from 1 species